GCUGAUUUCCGGUCUUUGAGCAGAGCCGAACACACCACACAAAGCUUUUUGAACAGCACCCGUGCAUGCUAGUUCCACUACAUAUAGAAGAAGAAGCUGCUGUUUUGCACUCACCGAGCAGCGUGCCCACUGCACAGGCCACUCAGUAACAUGGCUUCAAAGAACACAGAUACUUUUGUCCAAAAGCUCCUCAUUACUACCCUCAAGAAACUGAGCACAUAUGAAUUUAAAACGUUCAUAAAAGUGCUGCGCAGGACACCCAUGAAGGAGCUUGUUGAUGCAGGAGAUGAAUGCCUUGAUGAAUCCAAAGUAUUCGGGGAGCUGGACAGCAUAGAAGUCAUUGUCAAUAAAUUGAUAAGCAAGUUCACCCGGACUCCCUCACUGAAGGCAGCUGCAAGGGUACUGGAAAAAAUAGGGAGAAGGGACCUCGCUCAAGAUCUCUGGAGAGAAGUAGAAGAAUUGAAAAGAAAACCAAAAGAAAGAAACAUACAAAAAGGAGUAUUCAAAGCAACAGCCGGACUGGUGAUAGGAGCAGGUUCAUGGGGAGCUUUAGGAGUAGUGACGGCGACAGGACCAGCGGCCAUGGCAGCGGGGUGUGCAGUUCUCGGAGUGGCAUUAGUAAUACAAGGCGUGAGCCUCAUCUUUCCGGGAAACUGAAGGACAGCCACAGGUUCCCAUUACAGCAAUAGCUCAGAUGUUCCCGUCACCUCAUCGUGCCCCCGGCUUCCUUCGAAGACAUCCCAGAGUUGGAAAGCCACAGCCACAAGCUUGCUGAUCCGAGCCCUCUAUCAACUUAGGCAGCAAUGAACAGCGAUUAUUUCCCACGCCUGCCUGUGAACAAUUCAUACUAUCGUUAUGGUUGCUCCUUCUUGCGUUGUGCCUGGCCACCCGGGUGUCAGAAACCCCCAAAGAUGGCUGGAAUUAAAAAAAAAAUUGGUUGGUCAAAUAAAACACACUUUUUAAUACCAUACAGAAAAUCGUAUCACACAACGGUUGGCUUUCAAAG